AACGCACAUUGCGCCCCUGGGAAUUCCCAGGGGCAUGCCUGUUCGAGCGUCCGUAACAACCUCUCAAGCCUGGCUUGGUAUUGGGACUCGCUGCCUCGGUGGUGGUCCUCAAAAGCAGUGGCGGGCCCAUGUAACUCUCCGCGUAGUAAUACAUCUCGCGACAGAGAAGCAGCGGGACUUGCCAAAACUCCUUAAUUGCUCAGGUUGACCUCGAAUCAGGUAGGGAUACCCGCUGAACUUAA
rnacentral:misc_RNA from 3 species